rnacentral:rRNA from 1 species
CAGUCGCCACGGUAACACGUAGGGUGCAAGCGUUAAUCGGGAUUACUGGGCGUAAAGCGUGCGCAGGCGGUUCGCUAAGACAGAUGUGAAAUCCCCGGGCUUAACCUGGGAACUGCAUUUGUGACUGGCGGGCUAGAGUAUGGCAGAGGGGGGUAGAAUUCCACGUGUAGCAGUGAAAUGCGUAGAGAUGUGGAGGAACACCGAUGGCGAAGGCAGCCCCCUGGGCCAAUACUGACGCUCAUGCACGAAAGCGUGGGGAGCAAACAGGAUUAGAUACCCCGGUAGUCCCUGUCUCUUAUAC